rnacentral:antisense_RNA from 1 species
AACCAACAAUAACCUUUUUAUUAUAUUUACUCAUCCCAAUGGGUAAAUACUCCUUUUUUCCGCUAGGUCUAACCAUCCUAGUGGUUUUUUUU